AUAUAAUAUUCACUGCGCAUAGCGGGUGUGUUUACAGUCUGGAUUGAGCUGUAGUGUCCUUAGACAUUUGUGUGACAGGAGGAUAAAAAUAGUGAUGUUCGCUAAAAUGCUUAAUUUACAGUAUCAUCAAGUUAGCAUGGCAAUAGAAUGAACUCAACGACAACUGAACAAAGUUGGCUUGCACUACCUGGCUAGCUAGCAUUAGCCGGCCAACGUUACUGCUGUCAAGCUAGCUAACUGACUAGCUAGCUAGCAGGCUGGCUGGCUAGCUUUCUAGCCUCACCUAGCUAUUGGCUAUAGUCAUGCUAGCUAGUGGAAGUAAGUUAGUCCCUCAUGCUAGAUAGUAGUAGUAGCUAGCUAGUGGAAGUAAGUUAACGUUCUCUCAACAUGCUUCAAGUUGAAGCAGCCCGGCCAGAGGUAACUGCUGCAGAAAGUUCACUCACUAUGAUACUGUAUGUAGGAUGGUUGAUGGCACCUACAGACCUGUUUGAGGGGCAACUGGACAGAACAUAUCAAAAUGCUUGGACCUCAGCUGAGACCCUCCUCUCUUUCCCCAUCUUUCAAGGAAAGCCCCUUCUUUACACUUCCUGUUUGGCAUGAUGCUCUCAAGGAUAUUAGGGGAAGUUGAUUUGCUGUUGGCACCAAUCCCACGCUGCCAGACAACAUCAACGACUUUAUCCCCCUCAUCCUGAACUUUGCUAACUCUUGUUCAACUGCCUGAUGCCUCUGGGUCUGCAGAUAGAUGCAGAGAAGAUAUUGGCUCAACACUCACCUGCCAAUCAGUAUUGGCAACUCGAUAGUAUUGGAAAUGACACCCUUCAAGUACUUAGAAAAUGUCCAAAUUAAUGAAAUGCCCUUAAUUUGCAUUGUGAAUGUUGCUUUCAUGGUUGUGAUUAACAGUAUGAAUGUAAGAGUGGUAAUGAAAUGAAUUACAGCAGCAGUAUUUUUAUAUUCCAGCAGAUGGCAGUAAUCGACCUUCAAUAAUUAGUAGGGGCAGAGAGCAGGGUGCAGGAGGAUUAGGCUUGAGAUCCAAAGGCCUUGAAUUCACACAAAAUGUGCCUAUAAUCCAGGGUUUCCCAAACUCCGUCUUCGGGACCCCAAGGGGUGCACGUUUUGGUUUUUGCCCUAGCACUACACAGCUGAUUAAAAUAAUCAACUAAUCAUCAAGCUUUGAUAAUUUUAAUCAGAUGUGUGUUAGGGCAAAAACCAAAACGUGCACUCCUUUGGGUCCUGAGGAUCGAGUUUGGGAAACACUGCUAUAAUCCAAAUUGAGCAGCUUGAGUGCCAUUACUCAGUGUUGUAGUCAUUAAACCCACAUUUCUGAAA